AAACUUGGAUUGGAAGAAUCAAUAUUGUUAGAAGGGUCUUACUGCCCAAGACAAUCUAUAGAUUUAGUGCAAUCCCUAUCAAAUUACCCAGGACAUAUUUCACAGAACUAGAACAAAUCAUAGUAAAAUUUAUAUGGAACCACAAAA